CAGGCCUAACACAUGCAAGUCGAGCGAGAAACUUAGCUAUGAACCUUCGGGAGAUUAGUUAAGUGGAAAGCGGCGGACGGGUGAGUAACGCGUGGGUAACCUGCCCUAUGCAGGGGGAUAACGCACUGAAAAGUGCGCUAAUACCGCAUAAGACCACAGCAUCGCAUGAUGCAGAGGUAAAAACUCCGGUGGCAUAGGAUGGACCCGCGUCUGAUUAGCUAGUUGGUGAGGUAACGGCUCACCAAGGCGACGAUCAGUAGCCGACCUGAGAGGGUGAUCGGCCACAUUGGGACUGAGACACGGCCCAAACUCCUACGGGAGGCAGCAGUGGGGAAUAUUGCACAAUGGGGGAAACCCUGAUGCAGCGACGCCGCGUGAAGGAAGAAGGUUUUCGGAUCGUAAACUUCUAUCAGCAGGGAAGAUAGUGACAGUACCUGACUAAGAAGCCCCGGCUAACUACGUGCCAGCAGCCGCGGUAAUACGUAGG
rnacentral:rRNA from 1 species